rnacentral:tRNA from 1 species
GCGGAAGUGGUUCAAUGGUAGAACAUCAGCUUCCCAAGCUGAUGACGCGGGUUCGAUUCCCGUCUCCCGCUCCA